rnacentral:rRNA from 1 species
UACACACUGCCCGUCACGCCAUGGGAAUUGGUUUUACCCGAAGCUGGUGAGCUGAACGUAAGUGGGCAGCCAACCACGGUAGAAUCGGUGACUGGGGUG